AACUGUUCACUUAAGCACUGAUAUUGGAAUGAUGCAGAAAAGAUUAACAUGGCCCUGCACAAGGAUGACAUGCAAAUUUCUGAACCAUUUCAUAUUAAA
rnacentral:snRNA from 1 species